UACGUAGGGUGCAAGCGUUGUCCGGAAUUAUUGGGCGUAAAGAGCUCGUAGGCGGUCUGUUACGUCGGCUGUGAAAACCUGGGGCUCAACUCCGGGCCUGCAGCCGAUACGGGCAGACUAGAGUUCGGCAGGGGAGACUGGAAUUCCUGGUGUAGCGGUGAAAUGCGCAGAUAUCAGGAGGAACACCGGUGGCGAAGGCGGUUCUCUGGGCCUUACCUGACGCUGAGGAGCGAAAGCGUGGGGAGCGAACAGG
rnacentral:rRNA from 1 species